rnacentral:misc_RNA from 1 species
AAGCUUGGAAUCGGAGAGUUUCUAAACGAUGGUGACACCUACCACUACUGACGAUGUUACCUUCUUGUCAUUUCCCUGUCUUUCUUUCGCCAUGCUUCUUCUUCUUCCUCUUACCUCUGUUUCUGCACAACCCCUUUAAUUCUUGACUAACAAGAACGAACAAAACAGAAAAUGAAUAGAAAUAGCUGUAAGCAAGACACCCUUUUCCCCCUUUUGCCACUAGUGGUGAUUGUGGCAGUGGGUUUUUACUCAUCUUUUGUU